rnacentral:rRNA from 1 species
GUAGGUGGCAAGCGUUGUCCGGAAUUAUUGGGCGUAAAGCGCGCGCAGGCGGUCCUUUAAGUCUGAUGUGAAAGCCCACGGCUCAACCGUGGAGGGUCAUUGGAAACUGGGGGACUUGAGUACAGAAGAGGAAAGCGGAAUUCCAAGUGUAGCGGUGAAAUGCGUAGAGAUUUGGAGGAACACCAGUGGUGAAGGCGGCUUUCUGGUCUGUAACUGACGCUGAGGCGCGAAAGCGUGGGGAGCAAACAGGAUUAGAUACCCUGGUAGUCCACGCCGUAAACGAUGAGUGCUAAGUGUUAGGGGGUUUCCCGCCCCCUUAGUGCUGCAGCUAACGCAUUAAGCACUCCGCCUGGGGAGUACGGCCGCAAGGCUG